GAGAGGAGAGACGCAAGGACGUGUGGAUGGAUGGAUUGCUGAGAGACGAGUGCAGUUGAGAGUUGGUGAGGGACGCCUGGAUGGAAGGAUUGCUCAGAGAGGAUGACAGCCCUGAGAGAAAAACAAACAAGGUUAAAUGUUGGACAAAAAUAAAUCGACCUACUUAAUUCCAGGCACUUCACAAGACUUUGGCCGGGAGGACAGAGACUGCACCUGUAACCAAGAAAAUAUAAAUGUUUAAACAUGGCAUCUAGCAGACCACCAAAAACGGAGAGAUUCUUCAAUGAGCGCUUAUCACUGUCGGAUCGCACCACUGAAUUUCCAGCCAACCUCCCAGAGGAAGUCUUGUCUGGGAAGAGCAGAGCCUAAAAACCAGGAUGGGAGAGCGUGGGACCAAGAAGACAGCGUUGACCCGUGUUUCUGACCCAGUACAGCUGAGCUCCAAAGGGACAACAUAUGGACGCUGCCUAGGAUUCAGAACGAGUCCCGUUUGCCCAAACACCGGUGGGACAGAUACCCCAGGGAGAGCUAUGCCUGAAAGUACUAUAAUAGCUUGGUCCUCCCUACAGACACAACCGAGCUUUGGGGCACAGUAGAACAGUGAAAGAUUAUGCUGUGUUUUCAUAUUUGUACUGUAACACACAUCACAAGGCCUUCAACCAAAUAUGAGAAUGUGCAAAAAAAAGAAUUUUUAAAAGUAAGAUAAAAUCUGUAGGCAACACUUUAUAACAGUAUUAAAAAUGCGCUCUCUUUCGCUUUCAAAGGGAACAAAAUCUUUUUAUUGGCAACGCGCACCCUUUGUAACAUUUCCUUUUCUGGUCAGAGAUGACAAGCUUCAUGAAAUGAACAGACAAAACGUACCAUCACCCACGCAUCAGGUUAUCGUGUGAACAAGCAAGAGGAAUCAUCACUGGUCACACUACCUCGUGUGGUGCUGGGAUGGAAAGCGUUAAUGAGCCGAGUUGACGCCCUUUUCAGCUCAUUUACCCUUACCCAGUAUGUGUGGCGGUAGGUAAUGCAUCACAGAUGUCCGCAGAGAGCUGUAAACAGCUCCUCGAGGGCAUUCGGGCAUUAAGGACGAGUCUUCGGGUGAACUCCAACUGCUGUUUAGUCACUAGUCUUUACAGUCUGCUACCCCCACACCCUGAAGGACCACCUCUUCCCCAAACUAAUCCCUGCAAACUGCUCAAACUACUACACCAGCAGUGAACAUUAUAGACAACACAAAGAACAAUUAAAUUCUUUCAUGUAUUUAUUCACCCUCACGCUGUUUAAAAAUCUGUAUAUGACUCUUACUUCAGUGCCAGUGGAACACAAAAGAAGAUAUUUUGUGAAAUGUGAGGUGGUUUUGUGUCCAUACUAUACGAGUCAAUGUUGUUUGGUUACAGAUGUUCUUUAAAACAUCUUUUGUGAUCUGCAGAAAAAUGAAGUCAUAAAGGUUUAAAACCUUUUAAACAAUCUUAAUUUUGGGUAAAAUAUCACUUGAACACUGUAGCUGAAGUUGUAAGUGACCUUGUACAAAGUGGUAAAGUGAUCGUUCAGCAAGAAAAUACAAAUUCUGUCAUCAUGUAUUCACCCUCUUGUCAUUUCAAACCUCUAUGACACAAAAGAAGAUAAUUUGAAGGUGUUGUUAAUUGGCCCCCAUUUACUUGCACUGGUUUUGUGUCCAUCCAAUAGAAGUAAAUAGGGGCCAGUGCUGUUCUGUUACCAACCAAAACAUCUUCUUUUGUGUUCUGCGGAAGAAAGACAGUGAGGGUAAGUAAAUAAUGACAGAACUUUCACCUAAGCUUCUUAUGCUGUCUUUCCUAUUUUAACACGGGUUAAACAUGCAAGCAAACGUACCACAAGCCCUUUUACGACAACACAAAACCAAACGCUAGUAAAACUGCAGAUCCUCUGUGACACAUCGUGUUGUCACAUGACAAACAGCAGACCCUGUGUAGAUGAAAACACCAAAAAUCAUUUGCAAGCGCUCUCUGACUCAUCCUAAAUCUAGCUUAAGCUCUAAUGUCCACGCAGAGAGAAAACAUCUGUUUGGCCUUCAAUUAAUCAUAGGAGGUGAUAUUAGAGAAGAAGAUCCCAAAAGAAAAAAAAAAAAAUGACAUACACACCCACUAUUCAAUCACAAACCCCAGUGCCAGUUUGAAUGAGCAAAAAGCUGUGAAAGGAACAAAGCAAAGUCGAAACAUGUAGAGUGAGAAUACGGCUGUUAGCUGAUGCUGGUCUGGUCUAGCCGCCCAGAGCGAAGGGAGGGGGCGUAUAAACACGCUGAGCUCACGAUCUGCUCUGAGGGACAGUGAGCCAAAGAUCUGGAAGGUUUUAGUAAGUGCUGUUUACAUUGAAGAAUAGCUGAACAUUCAUCCUUGAGGAAGAAAAGAGACGGUUAGAGUCAGUGAGAAACGCUUUGGUUAGUAUUGGGACUUCACCAGGACACAUCAAAACAUUUGAAACACAAUAACACAUCUGAAAAGAGAUUAUAAGAAAAGUAAUUAAAUACCGGAUAUGAUUAUAAGAGAAGUUAAGAAAAUGAUGCAUUUUGGAGUUUAAGAUCUAACUAAUAACUAAUAACUUGAAUAACUAAUUUGUUGUAUUUUCUUGAAGUUUCUCGCCCAAUAACAUCUUGCAAGAGACUACAAAUGCGAACAAGCCCCUGGCUAAUUUUGGGUGCACUUACAUCCAUGGAUGUGCAUUAAUGUACAUUGUCUCUUUUGAAAAUAUAAAUAAAUAAAUAAAAUGAAUAAACUACGCUGAUCCGACGAAUCCUAUGUUUCAUAAUUUAUUGCAUGCCUCCGAGACAUCCCUUGAUGUGGAGUGAACCGCUCGCUGUUUGUGCAUUUAUAAUGAUCCUCAAAAAGUUUGCCUAGGAUCAUUUAUGUGGUUAAAGUCCACAUGAGAGUUUAUCCUGUGCUAACCCCCUCUCUGCUUCUUCAUACAACAACUACAUAUGCAAUACAAAGCAAUUCACUGUUUAUGCAUUUAACCGUGCUAUUAUUUCUGUUUUAGACUGAACUAUCUAAAAGCAAUACUUAAGGAGAUAAGAUAAAGCAUUCGAUCUGGUGUUGCGGAUGGCCGUGUUCGCCGGUAUGCGAGCUGCGCUAUGGCAUAUGGCUCUCACAGCAGUAUUCUGGCGCAGUGGGAACAGAAGGCCAUGGUAAAGCUAGUCAGCCCAACCAGUUUUCAGGUGUAAACAAUGACAAAGGGUGUGGACUCUGAAAGUUUUAUGUCACAGUGUUUACGUGGAGGCCAAGGCGGCAUGCAGGGAAGGCGCGUUGGCCGUUGGCCAAGCCUACAUUCAAUACUUGACUGUGAUGUGGAGAAGCUUCCUUAAGGCUUUUAUUACCGGUUGCAAUUUACUACUUGGUAAACAAACCAGGAAACUGUCCAAUGGUUACAUUUGGCCGAAUCUGAGAAGAGCGACAUUUGUGCAGAGCAAACUGUUGUGCAAAUUAUGAUUUUAAAUCCGUCUGUGAAUCAUGUACGUUAUGUAGUCUCUCAAUGUCUCUGUUUUAUCUAACCUUUCGCUUAAUCUGUUUAGGUCAUCCGUGCAGAUGUGGAUUUUCUCUAGGCUAGAAAACAAACUCAUUACUGUUGUCUUUUCAGGCAUCUGUGGGGAUAGCCCGUGCAAAUGCAAAACACACAUUGACACUCCCUAUAAUGUGACAUGAUCUCACUUUCAAUGCUGCUUGAUGUCACCAUGAAGGCUUCAUUUCAAGAUUACAUUUCGCACUCUUCCCUACAGCUGCCAGCAGAUACAAUCAAACUCUACUUGAAUGCACAGGGACUACACGUAACUGCCUACAGACACAAAUCUGUGGUUAAAGUAUAGGACUACAGCUGCUUUAGGC